GCAGCCUGUUUGGCGCGCUUCUCUUUCCUUCUCCAUCUCCUUGUUCUUGUUCUUGACCAUUAGUAGGUACUUCUUCUUUUUCAGCGGAGAAAACAUUAAACCCCCCCGAAAAAAGUUUGAUUGAAAUCAACAAACCCAUUUAAGCAAGAUGAAUCCUCGUUCUCUCCACUCCAAUUUCUUCUCCUCUCUCAAACAGGUCGAGAAAAGAAUGAAAUCAGAGAGCCCAUCGAAACCCUUCAGUUUCUCUUCACCACCAGGGGAAACCAAUAACUCUACACCAAUGGAGUCUCGGAUGAGUUCUCCUCUAUAUCUCAAGCUUGACCAACCCAGCAACAGCAAUACCAAAACCUCGACCUCAGAAGAUAGUGAACCCCCAAGAGAAUUCCUCUCAAAUUCCCUCGAUUUCCCACCUAUCCAGGAGGACCCAUCUCCACCCAAGCCAAGCAUUGUCAUUGAAGACAACGGUGUUGAUGAGAUUGGGUUAUUAAUCCAACUCUUGGGUCUGUCGGAUUGUGAAGAGAAAGAGCCAAAUUUGGAUGAUCUGGUUUUGAAGAAUGAUGAUGAUGGUGGGUUCUAUGCGAGGAUUGUUAGGGUGAAGGGGCCCAAGUGUGUGAAGGAAUCGGAGAGGUUGGAUGGGUGGAUUAAGCACUUCUUGGAUGAUGGUGAGAGGGAAAGGAGAGAGCCUCUGAAGUUGGCUCAUUUGCUUUUGGGCAAAGCUGCUUUUCUAUUUCGGGAUAAUGAGGGCUUUGGUGGAUUAGAUUUCCCUUCAACUAUAGACGAGUUCUUGCAGAGUGAUCCUCCUAGUGAGUGACAAAUUGUUUUGUGCGUCCGAGGCACCACAGCAGCACAAAUUUUGGUGCCUGAAACCAAUCAAUUCUGGGCGCGUGUUAGUGGUGAGGAUAAAUUGAUAACUACGUUUGCGCCAUUGUUUUUGUGGGUUAGGAGAUCUUUUACAAAUAUAUAAUCAUGUGACAGCAGCCGAUUGGUUUGAGCACCGAAAAUUUGUCCUGACGUGGUGCCCUGGAGACACAAAAUAAUUUCUCCUCAAGAGUAAGCCUUUCUUGGAGAACAGGUUUGUUUAUGGAUCUAGUAACAGUUAUAGGCGAUUGUAGUGCUGUUGGAUGAGAAACCGAGUGAAAUUCUUUGCCUAUUCUGGAGCAGUGAUGUCAUUGUAUUCACAUUGUUAUGGAUCAAACUUUACUGUUCACUAUUUGAUUAUCUCUAGCUACUGCAACUUUGCUGUUGGAUUGCUAAUUUUGCGAUCAAUUAAUGAUCCUCUUCCAGUCAAAGGAGAGAAAAUGUUAUUUUACAUUUUUUUGCAGUUAGAUUAAUUAUCACAAACAAGUAGAUUCUCCAACAAAAUGUAAUCCAUCCUCCAGGAUUUUUUUUAUUGUUAUUAUGCCAUGAUUUGACCUUAUAAACUGUGCUGUAAAAAAUAACUUCUCUAACAAUCACACGAAUGGGAAUUUUGCACGCUGGGUACAAUCUUUCAAUUUUUUGAAUAUUAAAACUUUGAUUGAAACCAUGAUGAAUAUUAUAGGAAAUGAACCAUCUAGAAUCUACCUUGAAGCAUUGGUUCACAGGGGAAGCAUCUUUCAUAAUGUUGUGCCGCAUUUACUUCAGCUUCAAGAGAGAGGACAAUACAGUGUCCAUAUUGGGCCGGUUCUCAGGGUCUGUGCAGGUGCAAGAUAAGGCCAGUUUAAGAAGCUCUUCUGCUAUUUCCUGCUCUUUGGAGGAGACAUUUGAAGCUAGAUUAGGGUCAACAACUUGAAGGAGGCCUUUGAUUCCUUUAUCCAGCACUCUCUCCACAAGUUGAGGCAAAGAGACAGCUGCACUUGAUGUAAUGAUGGACUUCAUAAAGCAGAUAAUGAAGUCUAAUGUUACCUGGUGCAAUAUAGCCGAUGGUGCCCUGAAAUGCAGAAGAUGAUGAAAGCCUGCUCCCAUCCUGAAGAUGAACACCCAGCAUUCUAGCAGUUCCAAAGUCACUCACAUGGGCUUCCCAAUUACCAUCAAGAAGAAUAUUAGAAGGUUUCAGAUCACAGUGAACAAUGGGAAAAUCAUAUCCGGAAUGCAAGUAAGCCAAGCCACUUGCAAUAGAGACUAAGAUAUCGAUCCUCUCAGAUAAUGUCCAUCUUGAGUGAUUUGCAGGAGGACCAUGGAUGAUGCUAUCCAAGUUGCCAUUUUCCAUGUACUCAAGGAUUAAAGCCUUUAGCUUCCUGCUUUCCCAAGCAUAACCAAGUACCUUCACCAGGUUCCUGUGUCUCAGUUGGCUCAGGGUCUUAAUUUCUUUAUAGAAGGAUUUGUCAGACUCUGCAGGAAACUGGUGCAGGUUAAAUUUCUUUACUGCUAUUUUAUUCCUAUCUUCCAGUAUACCCUUGUAGACAGUGCUCAAAUUGCUUGUUCCUAUAAUGUUAUCUUCACUGAAGAAGUCUGUUGCUUCUUCUAAAUCCUUUUGAUCAAACCUCUUAAGGGUCAAUGCUGAAGCAUACUCAGGAUCUGAUUUCUUGGCCCUUUCUUGAUUUUGCUUUCUGGUGUAGCAAAUAUAGAUUGAUAUUGCCAGUAGGAGAAUUAGGAAUAUGGAAACAGAUCCCAGUACUGCUAGAAUCAGAAUGUUUGUCUUGGAUAAGCGGUGUGAAUUCUUCUUAUAGCUCUUUCCACUGCAUGGGCUAAGAGUUCUGGCUCCACAGAGACCAAGAUUUCCUACCAAACUAGAUGCACUUAUGUUCUUAAAGAUACCACUCUCUGGAACUCGUCCUUCAAGUUGAUUGAAUGAAAGGUUGAGAUGCUUCAAGGAGGAAGUAUUCACAAGGCUGUCAGGGAUCAUUCCCUUGAGCCUAUUUUGAGAAAGGUCAAGAGAACUGAGGUGCUCCAGAUGUGCCAGAUUUUCAGGGACUGCACCAACCAACUGAUUCCUUGAAAGGUUUAAGCUUGUAAGCAUAUGAAUCUGAUUAAAAACUUCACCACGCAAAGGCCCAGAAAGUUUGUUCCCUGACAAAUCAAGAGAGAACAAGUUUCUACAGCCUUUAAGGUUAUCAGGAAUGUUACCUGACAGAUUAUUAUUUGAGAUGUCAAUAACUUGUACCAUUUCUAACAUGCCAAGCUCAUUUGGUAUUCUUCCUAUCAAGGAAUUGUAUGAUAAAUUCAGAUACAUCUGAAUAUUUUUCAUACCUGCAAUUACUGACCCGGGGAUAGGUCCCUUGAGAUGGUUGUGCGAGAGGUCCAAGCUCAUAAGGUUACUAAGACUUUUCAUACUUUCUGGUAUUGACCCACUAAGCAUGUUCCUGCUGAGGUCUAAAUCCGAAAGCAACUGAAGAUUUGCUACAGUAUACGGAAUAGGACCAGUGAACCGAUUAUUCUGCAUACGGAGAUCAACAAGCUGUUUGAGCUCAAAAAUUUUCUCAGGGACUGCCCCUUCAAGUCCAUUGUCAUUCAGGGAAAAGCCUUGGAGGAGUGAGAGUUUUGACACUUGGGGAGGAACUAGGCCUGAAAAUCUGUUCUUCCCAAGUGUUAACAUCAUCAAUCGGCUCAGGUUGCCAAUCUCUUGUGGGAUUGAUCCUGAAAAUGAAUUUGAAUGGAGCUGCAAAAUUCGGAGCUUAAAGAGGUUGCCAACACCUGGUUUCAGUGAUCCACUGAAGUUAUUUCUAGCCAAAUUGAGUAUAUCAAGAUCUGAGCAAUUGAAGAGGUCAUCUGGAAUCUCUCCGGACAUGUUAUUUGGACCAACAGAUAGGAAAGUGAGAUUUCGCAACUGCCCCAAGCCUUGAGGAAUCUUCCCUUCUAGUCUGUUGUAAGCUAAACCAAUACAAAGAAGGCGUGUACAAUUGACGAUACUGGAUGGAAUAGAUCCUCCAAGAAAGUUAUUGUUCAGGGUAAGGUUCUUCAAGUUGUACAACAAACCAAUGUUUGGUGGAAGUGACCCUGUGAGAGAAUUGAAACUCAUUGACAAGUAUGUCAAAUUGGCCAAGCUAGUUAUUGAUAAAGGAAUCUCCCCAGUGAACCUGUUUGAAUGUAGGGUCAAUACCUGCAAUGAUCUCAACGACGCAAUUUCAGAAGGUAUUGUACCGACUAACUCAUUCCUAGAGAGUCCUAAAUGGGUUAUUGACUUGGCUCGGAAUAAGGAGAGUGGGAUUGUUGAAUUCAGCAUAUUUUCAUACAAAUUCAAGGUUUCUAAUCUAGCCAAAUUCCCAAGCUCAGGAGGAAGGCCUCCAAUGAGUUGAUUGCUAUAUAUGCUUACACGGACAAGCUUCCCGCAAUGACCAAGUUCAGAUGGGACUUCCCCUUUGAGUGAAUUCUCAAACAACUGAAGAACUUCUAAGUUUGAUAAAUUCCCGAUCUCUCGGGGUAUUACACCGGAUAGUUGGUUCUGACUCAGGUCUAAAGCUUGCAGAGCUUCCAGCCUACCAAUGGAAGCAGGAAUAGGACCUACCAAGUCAUUAUGAUAAGCUACAAACAGCUGAAGAUUAACUAAAUUACCAAUGCUGGAUGGGAUUUUGCCGGUUAGAUUAUUGGAGACGAGGCCGAGUUGUACCAAAGCCGUGCAGUUGCCUAUGCUCUCAGGUAUUGGACCCGAAAGAGAAUUGUGGUAAAGAACUAGUCCCAGAAGCUGUGAGCAAAGUCCCAGCUGGGGUGGAAUGUGCCCAGUGAAUGAAUUAAGAGUUAAAUCAAGAACCUGGAGGCUGGAAAUGUUCCCUAGGA